rnacentral:rRNA from 1 species
ACGGGUGAGUAACACGUAGGUAACCUGCCCAGAAGCGGGGGACAACAUUUGGAAACAGAUGCUAAUACCGCAUAACAACGUUGUUCGCAUGAACAACGCUUAAAAGAUGGCUUCUCGCUAUCACUUCUGGAUGGACCUGCGGUGCAUUAGCUUGUUGGUGGGGUAACGGCCUACCAAGGCGAUGAUGCAUAGCCGAGUUGAGAGACUGAUCGGCCACAAUGGGACUGAGACACGGCCCAUACUCCUACGGGAGGCAGCAGUAGGGAAUCUUCCACAAUGGGCGCAAGCCUGAUGGAGCAACACCGCGUGAGUGAAGAAGGGUUUCGGCUCGUAAAGCUCUGUUGUUAAAGAAGAACACGUAUGAGAGUAACUGUUCAUACGUUGACGGUAUUUAACCAGAAAGUCACGGCUAACUACGUGCCAGCAGCCGCGGUAAUACGUAGGUGGCAAGCGUUAUCCGGAUUUAUUGGGCGUAAAGAGAGUGCAGGCGGUUUUCUAAGUCUGAUGUGAAAGCCUUCGGCUUAACCGGAGAAGUGCAUCGGAAACUGGAUAACUUGAGUGCAGAAGAGGGUAGUGGAACUCCAUGUGUAGCGGUGGAAUGCGUAGAUAUAUGGAAGAACACCAGUGGCGAAGGCGGCUACCUGGUCUGCAACUGACGCUGAGACUCGAAAGCAUGGGUAGCGAACAGGAUUAGAUACCCUGGUAGUCCAUGCCGUAAACGAUGAGUGCUAGGUGUUGGAGGGUUUCCGGCCCUUCAGUGCCGGAGCUAACGCAUUAAGCACUCCGCCUGGGGAGUACGGACCGCAAGGUUGAAACUCAAGGGAAUUGACGGGGGCCCGCACAAGCGGUGGAGCAUGUGGUUUAAUUCGAAGCUACGCGAAGAACCUUACCAGGUCUUGACAUCUUGCGCCAACCCUAGAGAUAGGGCGUUUCCUUCGGGAACGCAAUGACAGGUGGUGCAUGGUCGUCGUCAGCUCGUGUCGUGAGAUGUUGGGUUAAGUCCCGCAACGAGCGCAACCCUUGUUACUAGUUGCCAGCAUUAAGUUGGGCACUCUAGUGAGACUGCCGGUGACAAACCGGAGGAAGGUGGGGACGACGUCAGAUCAUCAUGCCCCUUAUGACCUGGGCUACACACGUGCUACAAUGGACGGUACAACGAGUCGCGAACUCGCGAGGGCAAGCAAAUCUCUUAAAACCGUUCUCAGUUCGGACUGCAGGCUGCAACUCGCCUGCACGAAGUCGGAAUCGCUAGUAAUCGCGGAUCAGCAUGCCGCGGUGAAUACGUUCCCGG